AACGAACGCUGGCGGCAGGCCUAACACAUGCAAGUCGAGCGCGCCCUUCGGGGUGAGCGGCGGACGGGUGAGUAACGCGUGGGAACGUGCCCUUUUCUACGGAAUAGCCUCGGGAAACUGAGAGUAAUACCGUAUACGCCCUUUGGGGGAAAGAUUUAUCGGAAAAGGAUCGGCCCGCGUUGGAUUAGGUAGUUGGUGGGGUAAUGGCCUACCAAGCCGACGAUCCAUAGCUGGUUUGAGAGGAUGAUCAGCCACACUGGGACUGAGACACGGCCCAGACUCCUACGGGAGGCAGCAGUGGGGGAUCUUAGACCAUGGGGGCAACCCUGAUCUAGCCAUGCCGCGUGAGUGAUGAAGGCCUUAGGGUUGUAAAGCUCUUUCAGCUGGGAAGAUAAUGACGGUACCAGCAGAAGAAGCCCCGGCUAACUCCGUG
rnacentral:rRNA from 1 species